UACGAAGGGGGCUAGCGUUGUUCGGAAUUACUGGGCGUAAAGCGCGCGUAGGCGGCUUAGCAAGUCAGGGGUGAAAUCCCACAGCUCAACUGUGGAAUUGCCUUUGAAACUGCUAAGCUUGAGUGUCGGAGGGGAUAGCGGAAUUGCUAAUGUAGAGGUGAAAUUCGUAGAUAUUAGCAGGAACACCGGUGGCGAAGGCGGCUAUCUGGACGACAACUGACGCUGAGGCGCGAAAGCGUGGGGAUCAAACAGG
rnacentral:rRNA from 1 species